AUCACAACAAAACAGAGUUUUGUCUUUUAUUUAUUUGCUCUCUUUUUCUAGUUCUCCCAGAGUCACUUUCUCCAGACUGAGUAACGCUAAAUUUCUAUACCAACUUACAUUUAUCCCCGGCUGUCUUCUUUCUAAGUUCCCCUCCCCUCCCUCUCCCAACCUUUACUUUCCGUGUUCGUUUCUACACGGAGUGGCUAUGCUUGUCCGCGAACAAAGAUAAAGCACAUGUUAGCAUAAUUUCAUUUCUCCUUUAUAAUACAGAAGCCGUGAAAAUGGAAGGGGGAAAAAAACUUCCCAAAGUACAAAACAUGAUGAAAUGACAACAUGAUGAAAAACCUCGGCUUGUUAUCUGCUUUGUCUUCUUGCCAGAUAAAGAAGUAACAAAGCAGAACAUAGGAAGCACAACCUAAAAAAGCACGCACAAUACUUACUUGGCUGCAAAACACUGUGCCUGAAGAAAACGCUUUGUUAUUAUUCACAUUUAAAUGAGCAAACUAUUAAAUUUUGGGGAGGAUGUAUAAAAAGAUAAAAUGUACAUUGUCACAACAUUUUACCUAGUUUAUAUGUAGAUUACUAAAGCAAUCUCCUACAAAGUCCAUUUUAAAAAGGCAACACUGAUUAAUAGGAAUAAAAAAAAAAUCAGAGCUAUUGAAGACCAUAAAUGUAGUAUCUGAGGCUAAAUUAAAAAAAAAAAAAUUCUGGCCCAUUUACUUCCUCAAAUGUAUGCUUCCUUCAAGCAAAUUCAAUUUUGGUCCAGAAACUCUGAAAUGCAAAGUUUCCCCCUAUCCCCCAAAUUGCUAACUGCCAAAUUAAUUCAAUUUUUCAUCUAGCAAAAACACAUUUCAGAAUUUUUCUCCCACAUUCGUGAAGAUGGAUGGAAGUGCUCACAUAUUUCACACUAUGUUCUCCAGCAAAUGCUAGACGUCAUUGCAUGCAAAAAGAUUCCUAACACUGGAUAUAUAUAUAUCCAACCCCCACGUACUGGCUCUUCACAGUGUCCAUUUAGCUUCUGGACGGACACAUGGUCACAUCCCCGUUUGUUUUAAUCUAGAGACAAAGGCCUUGUGUAGAACAGACCCCACUCCGUGCAUCUAUAGAUAAUGAGGCGGAGAGGCACAAGGAGUGAGGAUGUGCUCAAGACCACAGAAUAAAUGGAUGGGACUGGUCUUUGAGUGCUUGUGAAAAUGGUAAGGCAGACCUCAUACUUGCCCUCCUGGCAGCUCAUGGCUGCAAGAACACAGACCUGGUCUUAAAGGAAUGAGGUAGCGGAGCAGGAAGGACCCAAGAUGUUCUUCUGUGCCUGGAAAUGAGAGUUGCAGCGUUCAGAGCUAUUUCCCGUUUGCUUUUUCUGCCAGGAAGAUUAGGUGUUGUACCUAAACACACCAACUGCGCUCAUUUGAAAUCCUAUUUUAUUCAUCUAAAUGAAUGUCUAUUUUAAGAUUCUUUACACACAAGAACACAUGUGUCUUUUUAAUAAAUUAAAACUGAGCAGAAUCAGACUGUUGAAAAUACUUUGUUACAUCUGAGGGCCUGGCUCGAUUUCAUUACUUACAUGUCGAUGUGCAUUUUGGUCUAGAAAGCACCCAUGCCAAACCAUACUUCCCCACAGCCUGUCAUUGCUGGCGACACCCUGAGUAAUCCCAGAGGCUAAUUUUUCAGAGAAGCAAAUUAAGGGGGAAUAACUUUACUAACAAACUGUCAUCUAAAACUAAUUUAGCCUUUCGGGCUGAGUGCAGUGUACUUUGAGCAUUCCUUAAUGACUUGUUUGGAACGUGCUUUCUUCCACAACAUCAACCCCUCAACGGCAGAAACUCAGGGAAGUAAUUUCUCACAUGAAAAACAUACCCCAAACUUUCUCUUUUUUUUUCUCCUGGAGAGUUCCAAGUUAAAAGCAGAGACUAUAACCGAGAUUUUCAUUUUAAAUUAAUUAUUUUCUACCAGGCUGUAAGUUUAAAGAAUGCUUUUGUUCUUCAUUCAGAGGGGUCUACAUCUCAUUCUCAUUCCCAGAAGCACCUAGUUUUGAAUUGUUACUAAGCCUUUAUGCAAUGCUGUAUUUUCAAAAUCCUUUUUCAGUUAUUUAAUAAGCUGGUCCUCAUGACAUCUCCCUAAUACGUUUUCUCCUCCACAGGUGAAUAAGAAAGUUGAAGUUUGGAGGACCAAAGACAUUGGCCCACAGAUUCACUGCAGUCACGGGAGAGCAGAGGGAGCCGCGCUGUCCUGAGCGUGUUGAGACUGUACUUGCCUGCAGUCUCCAGGGAGGCACAGGGCAGAGGGGAAGAAGCAGGAGCAUCACUUUUUGGGCUUUAGUUCCUUGUCUGCCCCAGGUUCCUCAUCUCAGAUGUAAGGCUGAAACCUGCCCUACUUACUUCACACUGUGAUUAUUAGUACCAAAUUAUAUGAUGGACAUUUACGUGCCAGCAGUUUACAAGCAAGGAAUCAAUACACAAAUAUAAAUUACAGUUAGGAUUUCUUUUUCCUAUUUCAGUGGCCUCUGGGGCUCCACAAUGAUGCUAAGUGCCUACCUUUUAUAGAAAGAGAAUUCAAUAUAUUAUCCAGUGCAUUACUGAGCUUUAAAGCAUAUAUAGAAGCAUGACAGGUGAAAGAGGGAGAAGAAGAGGGAGGGAGAGUAUGUGUGUGUGUGUUAUAUCCUGAUUCUUUUCAUUGUAAUCCAGGGUUCUCAGCAGAACUAUGCCAUUGUCCAUGUUAGGGUCAGCCAAUAUGUUUUGUUUUUUGUUUUUUAUUUUUUUAGAGAUGGGGUCUCUCUCCCUGUCACCCAGCCUGGAGUGCA